CAGGGAUCCCGGAGAGUUCGAGUUCAAAUCUAAGGCAGUCUCCUAGUUAUUUUUCGCCUCUUACAGAGUGUAUCGUAUCGAAAUACGGUUCUACCUUUCGGACCACCUUCAACCGAUCUUCAGCGACCGCACUUGUUUACUGAACGAUGACUAGGAGCGCGUGGACGAUUUGAAAAUGACAAAAUAAUGAUCCCCUUCCUACGUUCCGCCGACCCAUGACCGGAUUCUUGUGCGUAUCUCGGCGUUAUCUGGGCGGAGUAUCCUUAUCGGAAUCACCGGAUGAUGAUGACCGUCUCCGUAUUGCCGCCAGUCAUCGACUGGCCGCCGUGACUGAUCCGCGAUCUACCGCUGCCACCAACAAGAGAGGAAAAGAGAAAGAGAGAGAGAGGGAGAGAGACUGAGAAUACACGAUCGGAAGCUGACAUCUAGCUGUCAGCCGAUGGUAAACAGUCUGACUGCGUACAUCGCGGUGCGUAGACGUGCGUAACGCAACAUGCCGUACACGUGCGUGCUCGCGUGCAUGUGAACAGAGAAAGAGAGAGAAAGAAAGGCUGAGAGAGGAAGCUAGAACAGACUGAAGAAACAUUCUCUUAUUCUUCGCCCACGAGUGCUUCCUCAUUUAUGAUCGUGGAGAGAUCACCAUUCCAAUCAUGAGGACUACCGUUUGAUAUUCCGUCCAGAAGAACAGUCUCUCCCGUGUUGCAUUUGAUUGCCGUGGUAUUGGAUCUCCUCAGGUGCAACCGGUAAUGGAGCUCCGUGAACUCUGGAAACCGUGGAUGCAGCCGAGGGCUGGCAGCGGAGGGGCCCACGCGGGUGGGACAGGUGACGAUGAGGCCCCGAAGGACCCGGGUGCAAGGAUCACUCAUCAGUCCUAUACGGAGAAGGAUUAUGAGGGUCACAGGGCGCACACGGUAUACGUGGGCGUGCACUUGCCGGGAGAGAGGAGACACCGUCGCCACCAUAAGCACCAUCAUUCACAACGGCAGUCGUAUCCCGGCGGUAAGGAGGAUGCUGACAACGACAGACCGAGGCAGUUGUUGAUGGCGCGCAGGGGUCGUCUCGCUAGCAUCUGCGACCCCGCCGGCGAGAUGAUAUUCACUCCACCAGCCCAGAGGGUGCAGUUCAUCCUCGGCGAGGAAGUCGGCGAUGACGCCCACGAGUCGCAUCCGCUCUUCUCGGAGAUGGAGGAGCUCGUCAAGGAUGGCGAUGAGAUGGAAUGGAAGGAAACGGCGAGGUGGAUCAAGUUCGAGGAAGACGUCGAGGAGGGUGGGAAUAGGUGGAGCAAACCCCACGUAGCCACGCUGUCGCUGCACUCGCUCUUCGAGCUGAGGAGUCUUCUCUUAAAUGGGACCGUCAUGCUCGACAUGGAGGCGGCUAGUUUGGAGCAGAUUGCUGAUCUAGUUCUCGACAACAUGGUCAACAAGGAAGUGCUGCCGGUCGAGUUGCGGGAGAAGGUGAGGGAAGCCCUCCUCGUCCGACAUCGGCAUCAGCACGAGAGACGCAAAGACAAUAACAUGUCAAAGUUGCCGAUCAUACGAUCGUUAGCUGAGAUCGGCCGCAAUCAUUCCUCGUCAAAGAAUUGCGACUGUUCAUGUGGUAUGCAUGCCUUGUUGACGUCAGAUUUGCAGGAGCGCCGCGAGCCCAGGGACGCCUACGUGCCCUCCGUCGCUCGCAGCAGCAGCUGCCCAAACUCGAACACGGCUCCGCUGUCGAAAGAGGCGAAAGACCUCAAAGGGCCGUACCUUCUGGUUCCAGACGAAUUCGGCAUACCCCACGUGGUGGGAUUCACGACGUGGUUCGCGAUGUGUCCGCUAAAAGUGGAGGAAUCGAAUUCCGCCCCGGCGAUCGCCGGCGCAACAAGUCAGGGUAGUGCAGCAACGCUGAACACUGGCCGCUUCCUUGCGAUACCCGGCAUUCCCGGCCAAGAACCGGGCAGCAACGGCAUAGACCGGAGUCCCAGCAGCGUGUCCAUCAGCAGGAAUCACAGCUCCUCUGCGUUGGAGAACGGAGACGCUAAUCACAGGGGUAAUACACACUUUAUGAGGAAGAUACCACCAGGCGCCGAGGCAAGCAACAUACUUGUAGGUGAAGUCGAUUUCCUCGACAAGACCCUGUCUGUCUUCAUCCGACUGAGCCAGGCCGGGAUAAUGGGCGAUCUGACGGAAGUUCCUGUGCCAACGAGAUUUAUCUUCGUCCUUCUGGGACCCACGGGUGGAAUCUCGGGUUUCCAUGAAAUUGGCCGCGCCAUGGCGACUCUGAUGUCCGAUGAGGUCUUUCAUGACGUAGCAUACAAGGCGAAAAACAGGACUCACCUCUUAGCCGGCAUCGACGAGUUCCUGGACGCAGUGACAGUUUUGCCACCCGGUGAAUGGGAUCCAGCCAUCAGAAUAGAACCGCCGGCCGCUAUACCAUCGCAGGAAGUUCGGAAGAGGCCGAAGGAGGAAAAGCCCAAGGAAGAGUUUGACGAAGAAGCAGACGAGGAGAAGCUGAGGAAGGAGUCUGGUCUCGAGAGAUCCGGCAAGCUGUUCGGUGGACUGAUCAACGACGUAAAGAGGAAAGCUCCGUUCUACUUCUCUGACUUCAAAGACGCCCUGGCCCUCCAGUGCGUGGCAUCUUUCAUCUUCCUGUACUUCGCUUGCCUGUCGCCCAUCAUCACGUUCGGCGGCCUCCUCAGUGAGGCGACUGGCAAAAACAUGGCUGCUAUGGAAUCGUUGGUUUCCGGCUUUGUCUGUGGCAUCGGGUACGGCUUCUUCUCCGGCCAGCCGCUGACUAUACUCGGCUCCACCGGUCCGGUUUUGGUCUUUGAGACGAUCGUCUAUGAAUUCUGCAAGAAAUCCGAAUGGCAUUACAUGUCCUUCCGCUUCUGGAUUGGCAUGUGGAUCACCGUGAUCCUGUUAAUUCUCGUGGCUUUCGACGCAAGCGCCUGCGUCUGCUACAUCACUCGAUUCACGGAGGAGAACUUUGCCACCCUUAUCGCCUUCAUCUUUAUUUACAAGGCCAUCGAAAAUGUGCUAUCGAUCGGCAAGAAAUAUCCUGUGGACACUCAUUCCAACGAAAUGUUGAGCUACAAUUGCUGGUGUAAACCGCCCAACAUCACUCUGCCAUCCAGUUAUGAUCACGUGAACUGGACGUCGUUGGACAAGACUACUUGCGAGAAUCACAACGGCACGAUGAUGGGUGACGGCUGCAGCGUGACGCAGUAUGUGCCCAAUGUGUUCCUCAUGUCAAUUAUCCUAUUCAUGGGCACGUUCCUGCUGUCGGUACAACUCAAGAAUUUCAAGAACGCUUUGUUCUUCCCUUCGAAGGUGAGGCAAGUGGUGAGCGACUUCGCAGUGAUAAUCGCGAUAUUCUCUAUGAGCUUAAUGGACCACUUCGUGGGCAUUCCGACGCCGAAGCUGGAGGUGCCAUCGGAAUUCAAGCCGACACUGGAGGGACGAGGAUGGAUAAUUUGGCCUUUUCAGUAUAAUCCAUGGUGGAGUGCCAUCGCCGCCAUUGCCCCCGCUUUAUUGGGCACUAUAUUGAUCUUCAUGGAUCAGCAGAUCACGGCGGUCAUUGUUAACAGGAAGGAGAACAAAUUAAAGAAAGGAUGCGGCUAUCACCUGGACCUCUUCAUCCUGGCGAUCCUGAUCAUGAUAUGCUCUGUGAUGGGACUUCCGUGGUUCGUCGCGGCAACCGUCCUCUCGAUAAACCAUGUGAAUUCGCUGAAACUGGAAUCCGAAUGUGCCGCGCCGGGCGAGAAGCCACAGUUCUUAGGCGUUCGCGAGCAGAGGGUUACUCACAUCCUGAUUUUCUUAAUGAUCGGAUGCUCGGUAUUGUUGACGCCGAUGCUGAGAAACAUACCGAUGCCGGUUCUGUUCGGUGUCUUCCUUUACAUGGGCGUCGCGUCGCUCAAGGGCCUCCAAUUCUUCGACAGAAUCCUCAUUAUGCUGAUGCCCGUCAAGUAUCAGCCGGAUUACAUGUUCCUCCGUCAGGUGCCGCUAAAGCGUGUACACGUAUUCACUGUGAUUCAACUAGCAUGUCUCACCUGUCUGUGGCUAAUAAAGUCCUUCAGCCAAACUUCUAUCCUGUUUCCCUUGAUGCUCGUCGUGAUGAUCGGCAUACGCAAACUCCUGGACUUUGUGUUCACUCAACGCGAGCUGAAGAUCCUCGACGACAUAAUGCCGGAAACGAGCAAGAAGCACGCCGACGAUCUCCUCAAGCUGGAAAACGGCGAGGAACACACCGAUACGACGGGAUACGGUCCCCCAGAAAACAUCCAGAUCUCUCUGGCCAACGGGAACAUCAUGAAGAUUCCACUGGCGAGCAUCAACAUCAGCGAGGAGGUGAACAAGACCGGCAUCUGGCAACAGGUGAACGAGGGUAACGAAAAGUCGAAGCAGUCGAAAUCACUGAUAAACGUGGGAAAGCAAAAGAAGCAUCCGAAGAAGGACAACUCGAUAGCCGACGAGACAACGAGGCUGACGACGAUGACCGAGGAGGACGAGGAUGACAGUGGGAUCUCGAUCAAGGUGACGCACGUAAAAGACUCUAAAUUCUAACUCCACCAUCACCAUCACCAAAAAAUAAAAAAGACCGACUAUUCAUACGGCAAGACACACAGCAAGAGCACCAAUACACCGGCAUGCAACAUACCCCAUGCACCGCCGCUGUAGAUUUAAUACGAUCCAAGGAAAGCAUCAGUCCUUUAAAAGCAAAUGGUACUACCUCAGCCGAAACUUCCGUUUAGACAAGAAGACAGCAGAAAUAAGAAUAUGUGUUAAUGCAGCACACAAGUCUCUUUGAACAUUUAUUUCAAGAUUUCUUCAUCCACCGAUUGUUCAUACCCCAAUGAUCUCCAUUCACAUCUUACGAAUUGCCAUUCAGAAGACAAAGAUUUACACAGUCACAUUUACACUCGAUCCCUCCCUAAAUGGUCACCUUGAUUCAAACUGAAUACCCGCUCCUGCCAUUCAUCAAUUGCCGAUUAUCUUUUAUUGUAUUAUAUAUUUGUACUAUAUUUGGUGAACGCGAGUGCCCGGCAAUUUAUAAACAAUCAGCUGUAAAUGAGAGUCAUCGUGCACAUUCUCGAUGUACAUAGCAACAAUUCAACCGGAAGCGCCAACAGCGUCCAAUUGUGAUCUCGCGAAACCGUUUUCCUCAACUCGGGUAGAGUAAUGCGUACCAUUCCGAAGCAAUGGUACGCAUUGCUUCGGAAUAGUUUCCAACUGCGGCUGAUCCACGUAAAACAACUUCGCAUGUAUGCGAAAACAGGAGAGACAAAAAGUAUCUACAUCCUUAUGGCUAUCUAUGCAACAAAUGAUUCUUUUCUGUGUAACAGAACGUAACGUGUUAACUGUACGCGAGACGAUCCACGGAAGAGAACGAUUUCGAAAUUCUGAAAAAAGAGUGCUUUGAGUAGAGUAUAAAAUAAUAAGAGAAAGUAAAAAAGUCGUAUAAUAGUUGCAUGUUUUUACGUUUUAGCGACAACGGUAAAUAAAAAGUAGUAAAAUUAUGAAAUAUUAUGUGAUGUACGACUGCAUCCUCUUCAGACGAUAGGAUCCGAAUCGUCUAUUGACGAGUCAAUAGGGAUGCGUCUACGCUACAAAAA